CUCUACAUAUGGGGUUGACGGUCAGUUACCCAAGGACCCCAAAAUCCUAGGAUGUUUCAGCUGGUAAUCCCUCCAGCUUGCAGCCGUAGCAGGUUCUUCAUUGGACGCAUGAUAAAGGACCUACUCUAUAAGGUCUGAAACUCGUUAACCUUGGCUCUGUAUUUUGAACUUCCUAUAGAGGCUGACGAAACAACAGUUGGUGACUCCUGAGGUGGGCACAGUAUCCAGAACUGAGGUCUGGCUAGUUCCUAAAGUUUCAUCUGCAUGGAACUUUCAGUGGAUGCCCCUACUGUAUGUUUCUGUUUUGUCAUCUGUAUAUUGUAAGUGCAAUGUGUUAUUAAAUGUUUUAACCUUUCAAAA